rnacentral:rRNA from 1 species
UACGUAGGGGGCGAGCGUUGUCCGGAUUUAUUGGGCGUAAAACGCUUGUAGGCGGCCACCGCGCGUCGGACGUGAAAUCUCCCGGCUCAACUGGGAGGGUCGUGCGAUACGGCGGGGCUCGAGGCCGGUAGGGGACGCGGAAUUCCCGGUGUAGUGGUGGAAUGCGUAGAUAUCGGGAGGAACACCAGUGGCGCAGGCGGCGUCCUGGACCGGCACUGACGCUGAGGAGCGAAAGCGUGGGGAGCGAUCCGG